rnacentral:rRNA from 1 species
GCUCGUAGUCAGAUUUUUGAUUUUGAAAAUUGGUCUGGUUUUAUUAUCAGUAUUGAUUUUUGAGGUCUUUCUUUCUGGGGAAGCUGUUUGCUAUUUAUUUAGUGGGCAGUGUAUCCAGGACUUUUACUUUGAAAAAAUUAGAGUGUUUAAAGCAAGCAAUCGCUUGAAUACAUUAGCAUGGAAUAAUAGAAUAGGACUUUGGUUCUAUUUUGUUGGUUUCUAGGACCGAAGUAAUGAUUAAUAGGGAUAGUUGGGGGCAUUAGAAUCGACAUGUCAGAGGUGAAAUUCUUGAAUUUUGUCGCGUCUAACUUCUGCGAAAGCAUUUGCCAAGGAUGUUUUCAUUGAUCAAGAACGAAAGUUAGGGGAUCGAAAACGAUUAGAUACCGUUGUAGUCUUAACCAUAAACUAUGCCGACUAGGGAUUAGCAGGGCUAUUAUUAUGACUCUGUUAGCACCUUAUGAGAAAUCAAAGUUUUUGGGUUCCGGGGGGAGUAUGGUCGCAAGGCUGAAACUUAAAGGAAUUGACGGAAG